AGCCAUCCUCCCCUUACGUACCCCAACCCAACCCCUUCGUUAAAAAAAAAAAUAAAAAGAAAAAUCGGAAUGCAUUUGAGCACGCGCCAUCUAGGGCAACUCUGUUCGAGUGUUCCGCCAUUCCUAGUAUUCACUCUCGCCGGGCUCGCCCUUCCUCACACCGACAAGAAACCCUCGAUUUCACGGACUGCCACUGAAGCUCUCGUUUUCACGGACUGCCACUGAAGCUCUCGAUUUCACGGACUCGAGGGCUCCAGCUUGAUUCCAUCGCCCUAUAUCUCGAGCUAUUUUGAGCUUUCUUCUCGGAUCUGCGAUGGUGGGGUCGAGGCGAGUUGCGGGUGAUAAAUGGUCGCAGAGGAUUCUUUGGUUCUGUGCGAUUGGAAGCGCCAUAAGCCUCUACAUGGUGGCUGUAGAGAGGCAGGCGCAGAAUAGGGGGCGGAUGAUGGCCGAGGGCUUGAAGGGUAUGGAUGGUGCGUCCGGCCAAUCUGGCGAGGAUGUUUGAACUGGACAGUAAAACAUGGGGAGUAUAAGUUAUGCCCAGAUGAGAAUAUUUCUGCAAAUGCAUUCCUUUGGACAGCCAUGAUUACAUCUUAAUUCAAAUAAUCAAACUGAGGCUAUGAGGGAGGUUAUUUGAUUCAUAAAAUGAUGUAUCAACAUGGACCUCAUCCAAAACAUGUCACUCUGUUAUCUGUAAGGCAUGCUCGUUUCUAAAGGCCACAGGAGAAGGUAACGAAGUUCAUGCUCAUUUAACUAAACUUGGAUCUAGUUCGUCCAUUUACGUGCAAACGACAUUGUUGGACAUGUAUGCAAAUUUUGGCUGGAUUCAAGAAGCGAGAAAGAAAUUUUGGAAUAUGCCUGAGAAGAAUGUUGUGUCAUGUAAUACAACGAUUGAAUGUUAUCCCAUGGUCAUGGAAACAUGUUGGCUGCUAGGAAACUUUUCGAUCAGAUGCCAGAGGGAGGAAUUGGUUCUUGGAAUGCAUUGCUUUCUGGGUAUUCUCAUAGAGGAGAAUGGUGUGAGGCUACAGAACUUUUCUGGGCUUUGUGCUUGGGGCCUGUCAAACCUAACCAUGUUACUAUUGGAUAUAAUUUUGUCUGCUUGUGGUUAACUAGGAGCUUUAGAAAUCUGAAGGCAUGUUCAUGGUUUCUAAGCCAAAAAUUGCAUCGACAUGAACUGUUACUUGUUUAAUUCUUUAGUUGAUAUUUAUGCUAAAUGUGGCGGUCUCGAUGAAGCUUAUAAAGUGUCUUCUGAGAUGCCUGCCAAGGAUGUGGUAUCAAAGUCAUGAUUGCGGGAUUUGCC